CUCUCCUCUCCUCUCUCUCUUCUCUUUUUU
rnacentral:sRNA from 1 species